UACGUAGGGCCCAAGCGUUGUUCGGAUUUACUGGGCGUAAAGGGCGCGUAGGCGGCUUAACAAGUCACUUGUGAAAUCUCCGGGCUUAACUCGGAACGGCCAAGUGAAACUGUCAAGCUAGAGUGCAGAAGGGGCAAUCGGAAUUCUCGGUGUAGCGGUGAAAUGCGUAGAUAUCGAGAGGAACACCUGCGGCGAAGGCGGGUUGCUGGGCUGACACUGACGCUGAGGCGCGAAAGCUAGGGGAGCGAACGGG
rnacentral:rRNA from 1 species